AAUAUGCCCUUCUCUGCGGAAUAGCCUCGGGAAACUGAGAGUAAUACCGCAUACGCCCUUUGGGGGAAAGAUUUAUCGGGGAAGGAUUAGCCCGCGUUGGAUUAGGUAGUUGGUGGGGUAAUGGCCUACCAAGCCGACGAUCCAUAGCUGGUUUGAGAGGAUGAUCAGCCACACUGGGACUGAGACACGGCCCAGACUCCUACGGGAGGCAGCAGUGGGGAAUCUUAGACAAUGGGGGCAACCCUGAUCUAGCCAUGCCGCGUGAGUGAUGAAGGCCUUAGGGUUGUAAAGCUCUUUCAGCUGGGAAGAUAAUGACGGUACCAGCAGAAGAAGCCCCGGCUAACUCCGUGCCAGCAGCCGCGGUAAUACGGAGGGGGCUAGCGUUGUUCGGAAUUACUGGGCGUAAAGCGCACGUAGGCGGACCGGAAAGUUGGGGGUGAAAUCCCGGGGCUCAACCUCGGAACUGCCUUCAAAACUAUCGGUCUGGAGUUCGAGAGAGGUGAGUGGAAUUCCGAGUGUAGAGGUGAAAU
rnacentral:rRNA from 1 species